GUGCUCGCUUCGGCAGCACAUAUACUAAAACUGGAACAAAACAGAGGAGAUUAGCAUGGCCCCUGUGCAAGGAUGACACCCAAAUUCGUAAAGUUCCAUAUUUUUAU
ensembl:snRNA Gm22753 predicted gene, 22753